GAAAAAUAAAGCGGAAGAGAAACAAAUCAGUCGUGAGCAGACGAGAGAAGCUCAAGUAAGGUUUAACGAACACGGUAAUGGCGUCUACUAGCUAGGAGCAAUUUUGACAGACAGCGGUUGAUAUCAUGAGGCGCUCAGCAGCUCCCAGCCAGCUUCGGGGUAAUGCUGCAAAAAAGCCUCGUUUUGUGCCUCCCGGAGCUGCUGCUUCAUGUACUGGUGCCGAAACCAAGCCCCACUUCCCUAAACCUGCCUUGGACAAUGCCUUGAAUAAGGUCCAAAGAAGUGUAGCGGCUCCACCUCCCGACAAAAGUGGAUACGCUGUCCGGCCAGCACCAGCUUUGUCAAAGGCUCUGGCCAGAGUGCUCAAUGCAACAGAAAGUAAGGAGAAUGUUGCUGUGACAGAACAUCCGAGCGCCGCCUGGCAGGAGCUCACAACACCGCGAGAAAACAGAGGGGCAGGCCUCCCUCAAACAUGCGGCGCUUCAAAUCCGGCCCCAAAUGCAGACCUGAGCCGGGACACGGUGCGGUACUUCAGCGUGAUGUGGUGUAAGGCCAGCAAGAAGAAACACAAGCGCUGGGAGGGGGACGCCGUGCUGGUGACGAGGGGCCGCACGGCCACCCUCAAAGAUAUGGAGGGCAAGGACAUUGGACAGGGUAGCGGCUACAAAAUGUCAGUGCUGGCCUCUCUGGCUGAAGGAGAAACCCUGAUGAUCGGAGCCAAGGAGGUGGAGGUUAUGGGAGUCAUAUCCGCAGAAACCUUCGCCACGGGACGUUGUUUCCAAGAAGCUCGGGUAGACGGAGAAGAGCUGCUCCAGAAGAGGGCGCCCCCUCCUUCCCAUCGCUUGGCGUCAAAACCUUUCUGCCCCCCAACGCUGUCGGGGAGAGCAGAGCAUCUUGGAUCUCAACCAAGGGAGGAACAGAUCCGCAGACCUCGCUAUGAUCCACAAGCUCUCGGCGCUCUGGUGAUGCCUCGGCCCGCUCCCAACCACCAGUGGUCUCAUAACAAGUUAGGGCUUCCGGUAGUUGAUGUUGUGGUUGACCCGCACCUGACGGCCCACCUGCGCCCCCAUCAGAGAGACGGCCUGCUCUUUCUCUACGAAUGUGUCAUGGGCAUGAGAGCCGCAGGACGCCACGGGGCCAUCCUGGCCGACGAGAUGGGUCUGGGGAAGAGCCUCCAGAGCGUGGCGCUGUGCUGGACCUUGCUCAAGCAGGGGCCGUACGGAGGGAAAGCGGUGGCCAAGCGGGUGCUGGUGGUCACUCCCGGCAGCCUCGUGCAGAACUGGGCUGCCGAGUUCAACAAGUGGCUCGGCCGUGAGAGGAUCGCCGUUUUCACAGUGGAUCGGGAUCACAGGAUUGAGCAGUUUGUGUUGUCCCCUGUGCACAAUGUUCUCGUGAUCAGCUACGAGAUGCUUCUGCGCUGCCUCGAGCAGGUGCAAAAAGUGGAGUUCGGUCUUAUCAUCUGCGACGAGGGUCACAGAUUAAAGAACAGCAGCAUCAAAACGUCCUCGGCCCUCAGCAGCCUGAGCUGCGCUCGCAGGGUCAUACUAACGGGCACCCCAGUGCAGAAUGAUUUGCAGGAGUUCUACGCCAUCAUCGAGUUUGUUAAUCCGGGCAUACUCGGCUCCAGCGCUGCGUAUAGGAAGGUGUUUGAAGAGCCCAUUCUUCGUUCCAGGCAGCCUUCCUGCUCCGAGGACGAUCGAGCCUUGGGAGACGAGCGAGCGUCUGAGCUCUCCCGACUUACCGGCGCGUUCAUCCUGAGGAGGACGCAGGAGAUCAUCAACCGCUACCUGCCGCCGCGCCUCGACUGGACCUUGUUCUGCAGGCCGUCCCCGCCGCAGCGAGAGAUCUACAGGCAUCUUCUGAGCCACAGAGUCUUCAGAGCCUGCCUCCAGGGCUCCGCGCAAGCACACACGCACUUGGCCUGCAUCACCGCCCUGAAAAAGCUGUGUAACCACCCUGCUCUGCUUCACACCACCAUCCCGGACAAAAUGAAAUGUGAAUCAGAGGAGAGCUCAUUAUAUGACGGCCUCGCACCGUUUUUCUCCGAAACCUACUCUUCAGAGAGCUUAAACCCUGCUGACUCGGGGAAACUUUUGGUUCUGUUGGACCUCCUGAAGACCAUCAGACGGCUCAGCCCAUCAGACAGGGCGGUUGUGGUGUCCAACUACACUCAGACGCUGGACAUGCUACAGAGGUUUUGCGUGCACAUGAGCUACACGUUCUGUCGGCUCGACGGACAAACGCCCACCGGCCAGAGGCAGCGGCUGGUCGACCGCUUCAACAGCCCUUAUUCUCCCAGUUUCCUGUUUCUGCUCAGCUCCAAAGCUGGUGGCGUAGGGCUUAAUCUGGUGGGGGCUUCCCACCUGGUGCUCUAUGACCUUGACUGGAACCCUGCCACUGAUAUCCAGGCUAUGGCUCGAGUGUGGCGAGACGGACAGAAGAAAACCGUGCACACCUACCGUCUCCUCACUGCAGGCACGAUUGAGGAGCGCAUAUUCCAGCGGCAGGUGUCCAAACAGGGGCUUUCUGGGGCAGUGGUGGACCUCGGCAAAGGCUCCGAGCACGCCAGCUUCUCCGCCAGCGAGCUGCGAGAUCUCUUCAGCCUGACGGACACGCCCUCUCUUACCCACGACCUGUUGAACUGCGGCUGUGACAUGGAUGGCUCGCUCAACGAUGUGAAAGAGGAAGAGGAGCAGUCUUCUGAAAAUCGGCCACGCCAACUCGGCCGCGACCGCGGCGCGUCGGCUCAGAAGCACCUCAGCAUGUCCGAGCUGAUGCAGUGGAGACAUUUCUCCGGAGAAGCCGACACCUUCUCUGACCCUUACCUCGAUCACGCCCGAGACCACAUCACCUUUGCCUUCCAGACCAUCUCGCACGUGGAACAAUAACCACCACUGUUUGCUACCAAGAAAAGAUGAUUUUGUCAGGCAAACAUGAACUCUCCUAAAUAUCCAGCAUUAAACAUAAACAGAGAGAGUUACAAAUUUACCAGCAUUAUUGGGUUGUAGUGUAGAAGCGCAUUCAUCAUACUGAAAUGUGUUGUGACAUGCCUCACCUCACCUCUCUGUGAGUGCAACUGUGUCCUUUUACCCCACUGUAACAUGCGCAAACACAACUGAGCAGCAUUAUCUUUGUAAGUCCUCCUUAAAGUGGGUAAGGUGUCUAAAAAAAAAACCGGAGUUUAAUUGAAAUGGAGAAACAGGAUGGCUGGCGUUGUUCCUGGGUUAACAGAGGAUCUCAGAUUGUGCUGGUGUCCCUAAUGUUUUGUCUGGGCUCGUGUGCCGCUCACGCAGAGUUCCUGCGUCAUCCAUUGAAGGUAAUAUGGACGACAGCAGUUCGUCUUAAUGAUGAGGCAUGUUUAGGUGCUGGGAGUUCAUGCAAAGCAUCAAUUCGGAAUAAUCUCGGUUACACUCUCCUGCGUUGUAACUUUUCCGCCAUGAGUUGACACUUUUCACAGAACAAUAAGCUUUGCCGCGGUGACGCGGUCUCAUCCUGUGACCUUCCACUUGACGGUCCAGUGAUGCGGGACGCUCGUCGCCCUCGUUUGCCGGCGCUGCGUGGGAGUUACGUGCGUGAGUGUUCUGCGUGUGCUGUGCGUGGUUUGUAUUCAACUGCGCUUUUACAUAAAAGGGCUAAUUAUUAUUUACCAGGCAACUCUUGCGCAAUAACUACGCUUCUGGGAUGGUCUGCUUUUCUCAUGAGAGGCGCUCCAUUAACUCCCAGGAUUAUUACUCUUGAUCCCCUUGUGAUGCCUGUAAUAGUCAGUUCCUUUCGCUCUAAUUAGAUGAUGUGUUGAUGGUGAUGUUGCUUGAUCUGGUUGUGCUAUCCGAAUAUCAAACUCGUAAUAUUUGACCCACAAGUGAAUGGUGGACAAGUUUCAGCAUUGCAACUGUCACAAAAUGACACUUCCCACUAUUGGCUCAUCGAACAAAAGUGCCUCUUCUCAUAUGGCUUUACUACAAUUAGUUGUAAAAUUAGGAUUUAGUACCAUGUCGUCCGCUAUACUUAUGUUUUUACAUCUCAUAAAAAAAAAAAAAAAAAAAACACGCAUUUUAAUUAAUGUCAUGAUAGAUGAGAUUAGCUGGUGACCAGUCAAAGAUGUACUCCAGCACUUGGCCAGAAUCGUGUGGGAUCGGUUCCCACUCACGCCACUCGAAUGACGGCAAGCGCUAUUUUUUUUUUCGUUGGUGUUGUUUUUAAAUGAUGAAAGAAUUGAGUGUUUUUGUGAUUAGAUAUGACCUAUGUUUGGAAUGCAGAACAGCCUAGAUGUUUGUGGAGUCUAUUGCAGGGGAUUGGAGUACAUUUCCUAACCAUCAAUUAUUUGAUUUUUUUUUUUUUUUUAUCGUUAGCGUCGAAUAGCUAUCAAAUUACAGUCACCGCAUUCUGACAGGGUCGUUAAAGAAUAUUCAGGUAAUACUUGUAUUUAUUAUAAUAAUUUAGAAUUAGAAUCUUCAAUGUACUAUUCUACUAAAUAGAAGAGGCGAAGUUCUCGCUGAACUUAACUUGAACGACUAAAUCUCCCCUGUAUACGCAACUCUCUCUCGUUAGUUUUGUAAUUGUGUAUCAGUAUUUAUAAAAUGUGACUAAUACUAUUCUAAAGGAGUGUUGUGCCUCCAGGCGCCUCCCAGUGUUGGCCUGGCCCAGCUGCCAGGCCAGUAUUGCUGGGAAUAUGGUAUCGUGUGUGCCAAUAUGCCAGGGUGGUUUACAUGCACGUCGUUCCUGUGUGGAGUCCCCACCCCCCACCCCCAACCGAAGACUCCAAAUUGUUCGUCGGUAUGUCUGCAAGUAUCUAUAACGGGCCCUGCGAUUGUCUGGCAACCACUUGGCCUGUCUGCCAAAGUCAACUCAGCCGCGAUAGGUUCCAGUUUUUCUGAGCUUCAGCGUUGCUACUGAACACGUGUCAGACAAACGAGUGUCACUCGUCCGAUUGAUCCGAACGGUGUCUCGGGGGCGUGUGUCUGAUGGGUGCACGGGAUGGAAUUUUUCUAAAGCUCUUAACCGUCCGCUGCCGAGCCGACCUUUUUAAGCCUGUCAGCUCAAAGGCUUGCCGUAUGGAUUUAAAUGAAUGAGUCCACCGCUGGUGGGGGAGGGGUGCAGUUGUUUUGAUGAGAGACUAAAUCACAGAUUGGAUGUUUAUUCCCUGUGAUCUCUGGACCUCUGAAUGGAGAGGCAGUCGGGCCGAGCCUCUGGUAUUAACCCUCACCGAGGUCGCGCGUCUUGUAUUUCAUUCGCGAUCGCUUCGAGGAUCAUUGCCGUUUAAGCUGCACGAGCUUAUAGCCACGUGCAGCAGGCUGCGCACAGCGCGCAGGCCCGCCAAAUAUUUUAUCAUCCGCCGCUUUAAUGGCACGGCGAAGGCUCGCGGGCGUGGUCUCAUCGACGAACAAAGAGGGCACGCGUCCUUCGGAGCGCAGCGGCCUUCGUGGCUCCAAACAUCCCGUCUUGUGUUCACGCGUGCUCCUCCUUUCCACGCCGGACUUUGCCCCUCACCCUUUUUAUGACCUCUCGGCAUACGGACGGCCUGUGCAGCGCCUCACACUGCUACAUACUGUAGCCACUGUUCUUCCUAGGGUUUCAAUUAAACUGAUUUUGCUCUGGCCUGACAGCUUCGGAACUUUUUUGGGGCUAACUCACAUUUUACCACCCCAGAUACACGCACUCACACACUUUCGAAAGUUGAGUGGGCGUACUGGGCGUUUUUCUAUAUGUGACCGCAUGUCCUUCCGCUUCCACUCACUUGGGUCCUGUCCCUCAAGCGCCCGCUGAACCAACAUGGGCCUUUUUAUUUUAUGGAGCUUUGUGCGCUUUUGGUCUGGAAAUAAAUUUCUCCAAAUGGAGUAUGAGUUCUCGCAUAUUGCUGCGGAGGCGCCAAAUGCUAGGUAGGCUAAGUUUGAAAGCUGUCAGUUCACAGAUGAAUAGAUGCGCGUAUAUAUUACCUUGACAGGAACUAACCCUAACCCAAACAAAUAGUAGAACUUUCAGCUCUGUAUAGCAGUUAGAAAUGUGCCUUCAAAUUGCUUGUGUAAUUACGAAAAAAAAGAAAAAACCCAAAUAAUUGGUAACAGUUUGACCAUGGAACAAGCAGUUUGUAUUUACAUUACUGUUUGUCUUUUGCGGGAAAAUGGUCAGCCAUUAUCCCAGAACACGUUGUGCUAAUGAGCGGUUCCACAGUGUGCUUGAUAUGAGCUGUCGUGUCCCCGUGAUUGUCCCAGCAUGUGGGGCGGAACGCUGCCGUCACUUUGGAUGUGGCUAUCCGUCUCAACUAACCACCUCGUGACCCUGCCGACGUGCAGUAGGAAAGCCUCCGACCCCGGUCGCGCUCCGGCACUUAACAAGGAUUUAAUGUCGCCCCCAUCGACCGUCAGCCAGAUGAGAUCAGAGUAGAAGGCCGCGGCGGACCAGACUACACAGCCUCGCACGCAAAGCGCCGCACGACACGAACAACGGCAGAGAAAGCGGCCUAAUCCCACAAUUAGUGUAAUGGCUCUCCACCACUUGUUACAGGGCGACCUCCCAUCGAACCAUAACAUGUUUUCCAGCGUGGUUUCUUUUUUUUUUUUGUCCGGUGAAUGCGAGGUCUAACUUUGUAGCCGUAAUUCCAAAAGGUAUGUUUCAUGAGUCAGUACGGUGGUGACUGGUUAGCACAUCUGACUCACGGUUUCCGCCCACAUCCCCAAAACAUGCAUGCUAGGUUCAUUGAAGACUCUAAAUUGUCCGUAGGUGUGAAUGUGAGUGCGAAAGGUUGUUUGUAUCUCUGUGCCCUGCGAUUGACCAGAUUGGCGACCAGUUCAGGGUGUACCCCGCCUCUCGCCCGACGAUAGCUGGGAUAGGCUCCAGCGCGACCCGCGACCCGCGUGAGGAGAAGCGGUACAGAAGGUGGAUGGAUGGAUGUUUGGCGCUAACACAACGCUGCUCAUCACCAAAACAACGACAUACCUACAGUCAAGCAUGGUGGCAGCAGCUUUCUGUUUUUGUUCUGUUUUUCAGCGGGAUCUGGGGCCUUAGUCACCGUGCAGCAAAUUAUGAACACUUCCAAGUACCAGUUAGUGAGAAAACAAAAACAAAUGUCGGGGAAAACCUACUAGA